rnacentral:lncRNA from 1 species
AGCAUGACUUUCGGUAACAACAAAUACACUAAGAUUUCUCGCUUUCUGCUAAGUAUACGAUAUGGCCGACAAAUGCGUAUUCGUAGUCAAAUUUAAUAUACAAAUGAACUUGCUAUAUAUCUAAUAAAUAAAUUCUAAAUACCUAUACAAUAGACUAUCAAAAUAGUAGAAAUGUCAUGGCGCCGUAGAGGGAGGAAGUGCUGAAGAGGAAACGACAGGAUCGCUAAGACGAAAAACAACAACGUCUUUGUCCAAACCAAUUUGACCCAUGUCCUGAGGUGUAAUAAAAAUAAAUUGCUUAUCUGAAGAAUCCUUUGCAGAAUCUACCAUCAUUUUAAUACUGACUAGUCUAUUAACAGCGUCCAUAAACACAUCAAAUUCAUCAAGACAGCGGAGCGGACAACUCAUUGCCUCCCAAAUUGACAACAGCAUACAAAUCGUUGCAAAAGAUUUUUCACCCCCUGAUAAUCCUUGAACGCUGACUUUAGACUUCUCAUGGCGAUUGUGAGCGGUUGCUAAAUUACGAUUCGCCGGGUAAACUCUAGGUUCCAAAAACUCCUCUUGGUGUUUAAUUACCAGUUUUCCAGUAAAAUUUCUCUGGCUGAGGUAUAAUUCAAAAAGUUCUUUCGUUCGCAGAGUAAUUAGCUUGCGAAAUUUGGUCCACAUUUCAUUACGCCUUCGUAACGUCUCUUCUAAAGCUUGCAAUAGUUGCGUGAGUCUAGCAACUAAAACUUUGGCUUGGUCAUGUUUUUCCUUUGCAUUUAAAUAGUCUUCAGCCGCUUGUUCCACCGAAACACCUGUGCGAUUUCUCCAUUCAGCUAUUUGCAUUUGCAGUCUUUCAAUUUCGUUAUCGAGCUCAGCCGGACUAAGCUGUACAGGAACCCUUUCACAGCGAGUAUUAGCCUUUGCUGUGUAAUCAGCCACAACCUGAGCACACUGAACUUUCUUAGCUUCCUUUUCACGCAAAAUAUUGGUACAGGAUUCAACCGUCUGUCGAUGCCUUUCAAUAUCCACUUCAGAAUUCCUUUUCUCAUCACGUAGCCGACUGAGUUCGGUUUGCAAGGAUGAGAGCCUUUGCGUCUCUGUUUGUAUCUUCUCCCUAUAAAUUCUGAUUUCCUCAAUUACCGGGCGUUGAUUGUCCCUUAUUCGAUGUUCUUCAUUUUUUGCGUCCUGCAACUGUCCUGCAUAACUUUCGAGCUCUUUUUCAGUCUCAGAAAUGCGCCUUUCAAGGGUUUGAAUCUUCUCGGUAUCUAGCACAGAAAGUUCCUGGGAUUCAAGUGAGUUUACCUCCCUACGUUUCAAAAGGAUCCUCUUUUUUAUCCCUUCUAUUUUCUCGACUAACAGUUGUUCAUCUCUUUUAAAUUUAGCUUGCUCGAUUUUGGCCUCGUUUAGCUGAUUACUAGCAAAAUUGUAUUGCUUCUUUAAAUCAUCCAAAAUUUUUUUUUCUGCCUCUAUACUCGUCGAGCUAGAAAAUCCAAUGCGAGGAGGUCUAUUCCAAGGCGUUACCUUUGAUAUACCUGAAGAUCGUUGUGUACUGACAAUUCGAAACCCAUAUCCACGGUUUCUAGGAUCGAGAGCAUAACAUUGGGUAACAUUAGCAAUGCCCCUUUUCAUAUAAGCUUCUGCUUCACGUCGGUCUUCAAUCAAUAACAUCUUUUCAAUUCCCAAAUGAUUAAUCAGCGUAUGUAGAACUUCAUCAUCAUCAAACUUAAUAAUCUUGAGCACCGUAGGAUAUUGAGAAUCAGGUUCACCAGAAGAAUAGUCAAAAGGAUCGUAUUUUCCAACUACAACUGUAGCAUGACAAUUGCUUUGCCUCAUCAGCUCUUUAAGGAUCAAUUGGUCAUGAUGACUACGAACUAUAAAACCAUUGAUAACAUUUCCCAAUAUCCUUUCAAUAAUUAAAUGCCAUUUUUGCUCUUUCACUGUCAUAUACUUUCCCAUGGGUCCCUUGGGAGGGUGCUGAAAUCUUGUUUCCCGAGUGAUGAGUUUAAGAAGUUGCGGCAUAUUCUUUCCAAAUGCAGAAACUUUAUCUCUUUGGACAUCUUCUAAUACUUUUAAAUGUUCACUUUGAUCUGAGAUUUUGUUGGCAAUUGAGUCUUUUUUUGUCAACAAGCUGGUUAAAUUGCCGCCCAUUUCUAAAAGAGCAGAAUGCAAGUCAUUCCUUUUAGAUUCAAGCUCAACAAUUUGUUCACUUAAAUCUGCUAUCUCACGUUGCAAAUUAUUUGAUUCGUUUGCUCUUUUUUCAAUUUGAGAACCUCCCAAAUUGUUUUCUCGAGCUCUUUCAGUGUUCAGUUGUUCACGAUACACAUCCAAGCAACUCUUGGCAGCAUUGAUACUGUUUUGUAUAUCACGCUUCUGUAUAUCAACAUCAUUCAUUUCUGAACGAUACCCAUCAAAUGUUUUCACAAUAUCUUCAAAUUUAGACUUUGUAGUGUCAGUUUCACCUUUAGCUCUCCCAAUCACUUCUUCUUUUGAAGAUAUCUUUCCAUCAAUAUCAGACUGAUUGGUAACUAUUGACUCUAAAUUUUCCUUGGCCUCUGAAAGUUUAACUUCAGCAUGUUGAAACUCCUUCUCCGCAAGCAGAAGCUCUUUUUCAACUUCAACCACUUGAGCCCACACCAUUUCCCCCUUUUUUUGCUCUAAUAAGUUAUGAAGGUUUUCAGUUUCACGAGAUUGUUCCCACAGAAGUUUAUAUUCUUCUUCCUUCUUUGCUAAAUAAGAGACCCCAGUUUUCUUAUUUCCUAAAACAUUCUUAGUAUUAAUUAAGCUUUGUUCAAUUAAAGAGUAAUUUUCUUCGAGCUGUUUCAGCUGAAUUCCUUUCAUAAAGAGCUGAUAUUUCUCUUUUGGACUUGAAUUUCCCAGGAACUGACGUGCUGUAUCCUGCGUAAGGAUGUUCAUAGGAUUGUCAAUUUGUAAACCCAUAUGGUCGCAGAUAUUGUCUAGUUCAUCGCGUUUGGUUGAAAUAACCGUUCCAUUGAAAGAACGCAAUCUAUAUUCGCUGGAUCCUUCUCUUCGAAUAGUACGCUCAAUUGUAAUAGAUUUUCCAUAUAUUUCGGGUUGGUAUGCUUCAAACCCACGGUUACUAAUCGUAACAGAGAUUCGGGCAUAAUUCUUUCCCUGCUUUACAAGACUUUUCAUGUUUGGAGCGCGAUUAGUAUUUGAGGCUUUAGCUCCAAGGCAAAUAGUCAAUCCUGUAAGUAUAGCACUUUUUCCGCUACCAUUAUGACCAAUGACAAAGUUGAUACGAGGUCCAAAAUUAAUCUUCAAGGAGUCAUGACACAUAAAAUUCACCAAAUGGAUACACUCAAUGACUCCCACGCGGUUAUCAAAAUUUGAAUUUGUCUCUCUGGUCUGAUUGAGGACAUCAUUUUCUCCGUCUUCAUUACCUCUAACUUGCUCAAUCAAUGAAGAUGAUCGCUGAAGUCGAGAUUGCCUUUCGGGUCUAUUAUCUUGAUUUCGAGAAGCCCGAAUUCUUUUCACAUUUGACUAUUAAAAAUAAAAUAUUAAUAUACAAAUUUCAACCAACAAAGAACCUUUUCUCUCGCAAUUGAGAACGCGUUUCGUUAUAAAAACGGCAAGAGUUUAAACAUACCAAAUCCACUUCUUCAGUUUGAAGAACGUCUGAAUCUCUCUUUCUUCUAUUUUCGCUUGUUUUUUCCGUGAUAGCUUCUUCCAAAGAUACAUUAGUAAGCUCUGUAGUCAUGAACUUUGGACCUCUGUUUUGUUGCUCUCGCUAAAUACCAAAGAUAUCACGACAAGAACUAAUCAAUUAACAAAAAAAUUUAAGUAAUUUAAUUCUCUUUAACGAAAAAAAUAAAUCUUCACGAUAAUAUUCAACCUA